rnacentral:Y_RNA from 1 species
GGCUGGCCUGAUGGUACUGCAUUAUCAGAACUUAUUAACAUUAGUGUCACUAAAGUUGGUAUACAACCCCCAUUGCCAAAUUUGACUGGCUUAUA